rnacentral:rRNA from 1 species
UGCAGUCGAGGGGCAGCGGGAGUACAAUACUUGCCGGCGACCGGCGCACGGGUGCGUAACACGUAUACAAUCUGCCUCCAACAUGGGGAUAGCCCGGAGAAAUUCGGAUUAAUACCCAGUAACAAAUUUUAUGGCAUCAUAAGAUUUUGAAAGCUACGGCGGUUGGAGAUGAGUAUGCGUCUGAUUAGCUAGUAGGUGAGGUAACGGCUCACCUAGGCAACGAUCAGUAGGGGAUCUGAGAGGACUACCCCCCACACUGGUACUGAGACACGGACCAGACUCCUACGGGAGGCAGCAGUAAGGAAUAUUGGACAAUGCCCGCAAGGGUGAUCCAGCCAUGCCGCGUGCAGGAAGAAGGCCCUAUGGGUCGUAAACUGCUUUUGAACAAGAGAAAACCCUUCUACGUGUAGAAGGCUGAUAGUAUUGUUAGAAUAAGCAUCGGCUAACUUCGUGCCAGCAGCCGCGGUAAGACGAAGGAUGCAAGCGUUAUCCGGAUUCAUUGGGUUUAAAGGGUGCGUAGGCGGCCCGAUAAGUCAGUGGUGAAAGCCUGUUGCUUAACAACAGAACUGCCAUUGAUACUGUCGGGCUUGAGUACAGUUGCUGUGGGCGGAAUAUGACAUGUAGUGGUGAAAUACAUAGAGAUGUCAUAGAACACCGAUUGCGAAUGCAGCUCACAAAACUGUAACUGACGCUGAGCACGA